UGGGGUGUAGCCAAGCGGUAAGGCGACUGGUUUUGGUCCAGUUAUCCGAGGGUUCGAAUCCUUCCACCCCAGCCA
rnacentral:tRNA from 2 species